rnacentral:rRNA from 1 species
UAGUCCACGCCGUAAACGAUGGUCACUAGCUGUGUGGAUUUCGAUCUGCGUGGCUAAGCGAAAGUGAUAAGUGACCCACCUGGGGAGUACGUUCGCAAGAAUGAAACUCAAAGGAAUUGACGGGGGCCCGCACAAGCGGUGGAGCAUGUGGUUUAAUUCGGUGAUACGCGAGGAACCUUACCAGGGCUUAAAUGUAGAGUGACAGGUCUAGAGACAGACUUUUCUUCGGACACUUUACAAGGUGCUGCAUGGUUGUCGUCAGCUCGUGCCGUGAGGUGUUGGGUUAAGUCCCGCAACGAGCGCAACCCCUAUUGUUAGUUGCCAGCGAGUAAUGUCGGGGACUCUAACGAGACUGCCAGCCGUAAGCUGCGAGGAAGGUGGGGAUGACGUCAAAUCAUCAUGGCCUUUAUGCCUAGGGCGACACACGUGCUACAAUGGUAGAUACAGAGGGUAGCCAACCAGCGAUGGGGAGCCAAUCUCAGAAAGUCUAUCUCAGUUCGG